UACAGAGGUCUCAAGCGUUGUUCGGAUUCAUUGGGCGUAAAGGGUGUGUAGGUGGCGCGCUAAGUCGGGUGUGAAACCCGCGGCUCAACCGUGUGGUCUGCAGUCGAUACGGGCAGGCUAGAGUUCGGUAGGGGAGACUGGAAUUCCUGGUGUAGCGGUGAAAUGCGCAGAUAUCAGGAAGAACACCCGUGGCGAAGGCGGCUCUCUGGGACGGUACUGACGCUGAGACGCGAAAGCGUGGGGAGCGAACAGG
rnacentral:rRNA from 1 species